GCGUGGGAAUAUGCCCUUCUCUAAGGAAUAGCCUCGGGAAACUGAGAGUAAUACCUUAUACGCCCUUCGGGGGAAAGAUUUAUCGGAGAAGGAUUAGCCCGCGUUGGAUUAGGUAGUUGGUGAGGUAACGGCUCACCAAGCCGACGAUCCAUAGCUGGUUUGAGAGGAUGAUCAGCCACACUGGGACUGAGACACGGCCCAGACUCCUACGGGAGGCAGCAGUGGGGAAUCUUAGACAAUGGGGGAAACCCUGAUCUAGCCAUGCCGCGUGAGUGACGAAGGUCUUAGGAUCGUAAAGCUCUUUCAACUGUGAAGAUAAUGACGGUAGCAGUAGAAGAAACCCCGGCUAACUCCGUGCCAGCAGCCGCGGUAAUACGGAGGGGGUUAGCGUUGUUCGGAAUUACUGGGCGUAAAGCGCACGUAGGCGGACUUUUAAGUUAGAGGUGAAAUCCCAGGGCUCAACCCUGGAACUGCCUUUAAUACUGGGAGUCUUGAGUUCGAGAGAGGUGAGUGGAAUUCCGAGUGUAGAGGUGAAAUUCGUAGAUAUUCGGAGGAACACCAGUGGCGAAGGCGGCUCACUGGCUCGAUACCGACGCUGAGGUGCGAAAGCGUGGGGAG
rnacentral:rRNA from 1 species